rnacentral:rRNA from 1 species
UACAUAGGGUGCAAGCGUUGUCCGGAAUUAUUGGGCGUAAAGAGCUCGUAGGUGGUUCGUCACGUCGGAUGUGAAACUCUGGGGCUUAACCCCAGACCUGCAUUCGAUACGGGCGAGCUUGAGUAUGGUAGGGGAGUCUGGAAUUCCUGGUGUAGCGGUGGAAUGCGCAGAUAUCAGGAGGAACACCGAUGGCGAAGGCAGGUCUCUGGGCCAAUACUGACACUGAGGAGCGAAAGUCUGGGGAGCGAACAGG